rnacentral:misc_RNA from 1 species
UCAAUAUGGAUCUAAGCAAGCAUCGACACUGCUCCGUUAUUUCCUUUGCUUUUAUUAUGACAUAUAUAUGCAUAAGAACAUAAUGAUAAAUUAGGUUAUUAUGCAUAACAAAUUCUGCAUAUACUGAAAGACCUAAGAUGUAUAUAAUAAUGGUUAUGUGCAUAAAUAUCAGGUAAACGGAAGUCGUCUGAUGCAAAUCCUAGUAAAGGCGUGAAAUCAAUAAAAUUUUGUGUGGCUUCUGAUCGGCCAACUCCCGAACUUCAGGACCGUCAUAUUAAAGACGAAAAAAUCUCAAAUAAAAAUGCUAAUUUGAACCCAUCUUCUAAGCAUUCCACAUCUGUAAAUGCAUGCCAUGAUAAAUUUGAACAGCAACCAAGUAAAAUCUCUGAAUCAUCUGCAAAGCAUACUAAAAUAGAUGUAAGACUCUUACAGCAUAUUGCUGACGAAGUAAAGAAACAAAUUACAGCAAAAGAGAGGCCUUUUGAUGCAAUAUCACAUGCAGUUGAAAUUUUAGGAAUUAAAAGAUUGUCACAAUUCAAAACCAAAAAAACGAAAACUGGAUCACAGACAAUGUAUUCUUGUGAUUUCAGUAUUGAUCAUUUUAAAAUAUCAUCUGAAAUUGAUGUAACUCCUUUUAAAGCAAAAUUAAAAGCGGCAGAGUCUGGAGUUGCUUAUUUUAUGAAUCCAUUAAAUUUCAAUUUAAAAUCAUUUACAAGAGUAAAAAAUGAAGAUGUCUCUGAACAUGAACAACAGCAAAAUAAUGCAGCCUCCAAAGGUAUUAAAUUAGAAGAAAUAGCUUCAUCAAUAGAGGAAGAUAAAUCUACUAAUAGUACAGUAUGUACAGACAAAAAAUCAAAGGCAGUUAAAAGCAAUCAUUUAAAUUAUAUCCAGAAAUACAUACAAGAAGUUCGAAAUCUGCUUGCAAAAAAAGUGUUUCCUGCAUGUGCUAUUAGAGAUGCUGCUCAUAAUAUGAAAAUAACGGAUAAAAUUGAUCUCCAGGUAAAUAUGGAUCCGAAGAGUCCUAAGCAUAAACCUGUAUUUAAUGCUCGCUUUUCCAUAGAAAAUCAUUUAAUUGCAUCCUCAAAUGGUAGCAGCAAAAAACAUGCUAGGGUGACUACCUUAGAAUCUGCAAUUAAUAUUAUGUUAAAUCCAUCAGAAUUAGUGUCUGUGCUAAGUAAUGUAUGCAAACAGUGUAGAGAUAAAGCUUUAGAGGAUACAUUUAGUAAUAAUAUGCAUAUUUCAAGUAUAGCAGAUGGUUCUGAAAAAGCAGAAUCUGAUUUAUCAGUCAACUUAGAACAACAUAAGAUUUCUGUUAAAGACUACUGUCAUCCACAAGAGAAAUCUGGGAAAACAGAACCUGUUAUAUUAACAAACUCAGAACAGAUUAGGACUUCUCCUGAAAAUAAUCUUACUUUUCAGGAGAUGCCUGGAAAAGUAGAACCAGGCUUAUCAACUGAACCAAAACAACAAAGGAAAAAUAAUCAUAAUGUACCAAAAAUGGGAAAUGUAAUUUCUUACAGAAACAAUAAUAAGCAAAAUCUAAAAAAAUUAUGUUUUUCUGAUAUGGAUGAUCAGACUCUCAUUAAGAUUCUAUCAGGACGACUUAAAAAUAUUACACAAAAAAAUAUGAAUUCAUACAAUAAAAUAUUACUUGCAGUAAGAGCUACGAAUAUGAUGGAUUUUAUAAAAUUUAAUACUACUACAAACUCUAAUAUAACAGGAGACAACCUUACAUUCUGUUGUGAAUUUUAUGUGAGAAAUACCUUAAUAGCCAGUGGGACAGGUCUCGAGGUUAAGAAAGCAAUGCAAAAAGCUUGUGAAAAUACUUUGAGUGUUCUGACUGGUGAAAGCAUUGAUAAUGUUGCACCUCCAUGUGAAACAGAAACUAGUCUGUAUGAUGCAGUUUCUUCAAAACUGAAAAAUGUGUCGUUUGAUUGUGUAAACAAACCAUUGUUUGAUUCUUCAGUUCAAAGAAAAUUUGUCUUACUUGAUGAUUCAGAGUAUAAGUUAAAAUGUGAUACGAACCCAACGUCUAUACUUAUAGCUUCUGCAGCAUUUAGUCAUAAAGCAUGCACAUAUAAAUAUGAAACAGUGGAGAGUGGAAUGCCACAGAAGUUAAUCAGGGCUGAAAUUAAUUUUGAUGGAGAGACUGUUGGCAGUGGUACAGGAACCACUAAAAAAGAGGCUAAACUUGCAGCUGCGAGAGAUACUUUGGAAAAACUUAGGAAAAAGGUUUAUACUAUAAAAGUAAAAAACCAAGAUGCAAGUGGGUUCACUAUAGAGCCUGAGCAGUUAAGAAGUGCUCCAGCUGUUUCCAGUGCUCUAACAGAAGAUAAUAUUGGAUGUAAAAUGAUGAAAAUGAUGGGAUGGACUGGUGGAGGCAUUGGUAAAAGUAGUGGCAUUACCGAGCCAAUUUCGAAGGAAGAUGGUAUGGGGCUACCUUCCUCCCCCCCUCCAUUUCUUCGGCGGUUCUAGUUCACCUCUUCAUGCAUGCGCAAUAAGAAUAUCAUCUCUGCGUGACUGCAAAAGAGAAUUUUCGCCUUCUGAUUUUACUAGUUCAUGUAUGAGUUUUACUCAUCGCUGAGAUUCCUGUUAUUUAUUCCCAUGGUAAGUGAGCAUAGGUUUGGACAAGGCUUAGGAUAUGUAGAUAAUAAGAACAAUAAUCCCCAAAUGAAAGAUUUUAAAUCUAGAGUUGCCUCUGUGUU